rnacentral:lncRNA from 1 species
UUAACUUCUCUUCACCACUCUCUAAUGUAAAAAAUUUCUUAUUAAGUAGUUCCAAGAAUAUAAUUCUCACAAUUUCUACUAAAAUCAAUCUCAAAAAACAACAACUUAAUUAAUUAAUUCAAGAAAUAAUUGUCAACUAAACAUCCAAUAUUAUCAACACUACAAUUGCAACAUGUUAGGAAGAGUUGAUUUUAAAAAUAUUAAAAAUAUUAGUGGUAU